ACUGGAGAAUGUCAUUCCACGCCCGAUCGUAAGUUAAUGGGGUUGACCAUUUCGUGACAAACAUCGGGUGAGUGUGUGUUUCUUCCAGCCGGUCCGAAACGCUCCUUCUCCGCCAUCCCCGAAAGAAUAAUAAACAUGUUGCAGUUCGGGCCGUCCGAAAGCUUGAACAUCGUGCAGGUGUUUGGUGAGGUUGAUGUGAAUUAUGUGAAAAAGGGGGAAAUAUGUUUAUUGUUCUAACCAAAAGGGUGACAGAGAACUGGGAUGAAAGAAAGAGCAGUUGGUCCCAGAUCGUCGAAACUUUCGGAAGUGAUUCGGACGUGCUCACUUACUACAAUAAGUCGGGCUCUGAUCGUCAAAAUAAAGUUGGUAUAAUAUUCCCGAAAAACGAGAUACUUCCCGUCUCGAUCGAUGGGCCGACAGCAGAAACUCCGACGAGUGCCAGAUCUUCGACCAGCUCUCCUUCUCGUCUUCUUGAUAC
rnacentral:lncRNA from 1 species